rnacentral:rRNA from 1 species
CCUACGGGGGGCUGCAGUGGGGAAUAUUGGACAAUGGGGGGAACCCUGAUCCAGCCAUGCCGCGUGUGUGAAGAAGGCCCUCGGGUUGUAAAGCACUUUCAGUGAGGAAGAACGCCUGGUGGUUAAUACCCAUCAGGAAAGACAUCACUCACAGAAGAAGCACCGGCUAACUCCGUGCCAGCAGCCGCGGUAAUACGGAGGGUGCGAGCGUUAAUCGGAAUUACUGGGCGUAAAGCGCGCGUAGGUGGCUUGAUAAGCCGGUUGUGAAAGCCCCGGGCUCAACCUGGGAACGGCAUCCGGAACUGUCAAGCUAGAGUGCAGGAGAGGAAGGUAGAAUUCCCGGUGUAGCGGUGAAAUGCGUAGAGAUCGGGAGGAAUACCAGUGGCGAAGGCGGCCUUCUGGACUGACACUGACACUGAGGUGCGAAAGCUUGGGUAGCAAACAGGAUUAGAUACCCGAGUAGUC